UGUUGUUUUAAUCCACCCAGUUUAUGGUACCAGAAAACUAAUACAGAAGACUUACACUUAUUUCAAAAAUCUUCUCUUAAAACCAUGUGCACAACUGACUUUUACAAUUAAAAAAUUCUUACAAUUACAUUGCUGCCUAUACUUGCCUAGAAAUCCCUAUUUCUAGGAAUGAAAACUCAAUUUGACAUUUUGCUUUUAGAAACAACCAUUCUUUUCAUAGUGGCUUGAUCUGUAUAAUAGGUUACUGGGUAGCAGAAGUAAAUCACAAGUUACCUUCCAACCAAGUUGUCUUUCUUAGAUAUUUUAAAUAAACCUUCACUGGACAUUUUCUGUAAGAGCUAACUAUUGAAAAAGUACAAUAGUUUAAUAAUACUAAAAAACUAUGGGAAUCUAUUCAACAGAUUAAUCACCAUAGCAGUGCAAUAGGUUAUACCUUUCUAAGAGUGACUUCAAGAGCUGUCUC
rnacentral:lncRNA from 1 species